AUUAGAGUCUGCUACAUAAGCAAUUGGGCCCAUACCCCAAAAACGAUGAUAUAACAUCUUCUAAUA
rnacentral:tRNA from 1 species